ACAGGAUCCUCUGAGGUUUCCUGUCCACCAAGGUCUCAAAGGGCUCUAGGUUUUCAGUGGCUCUAGGUUUUUAAUGGUGCUAUGUUUUCAGUGGCUCUCGGUUUUUAAUGGUGCUAUGUUUUCAGUGGCUCUAGGUUUUUAAUGGUGCUAUGUUUUCAGUGGCUCUAGGUUUUUAAUGGUGCUAUGUUUUCAGUGGCUCUUGGUUUUCAAUGGUGCUAUGUUUUCAGUGGCUCUAGGUUUUCAAUGGUGCUAUGUUUUCAGUGGCUCUAGGUUUUCAAUGGUGCUAUGUUUUCAGUGGCUCUAGGUUUUCAAUGGUGCUAUGUUUUCAGUGGCUCUAGGUUUUCAAUGGUGCUAUGUUUUCAGUGGCUCUAGGUUUUCAAUGGUGCUAUGUUUUCAGUGGCUCUAGGUUUUCAAUGGUGCUAUGUUUUCAGUGGCUCUAGGUUUUCAAUGGUGCUAUGUUUUCAGUGGCUCUAGGUUUUCAAUGGUGCUAUGUUUUCAGUGGCUCUAGGUUUUCAAUGGUGCUAUGUUUUCAGUGGCUCUAGGUUUUCAAUGGUGCUAUGUUUUCAGUGGCUCUAGGUUUUCAAUGGUGCUAUGUUUUCAGUGGCUCUAGGUUUUUAAUGGUGCUAUGUUUUCAGUGGCUCUAGGUUUUCAAUGGUGCUAUGUUUUCAGUGGCUCUAGGUUUUCAAUGGUGCUAUGUUUUCAGUGGCUCUAGGUUUUCAACGGCGCUAUGUUUUCAGUGGCUCUAGGUUUUCAAUGGUGCUAUGUUUUUAGUGCAGCUGGGUUUUCAGUGGCUCUAGGUUUUCAGUGGUGCUAGGUUUUCAGUGCCGCUAGGUUUUCAGUGGAGCUGGGUUUUCAGUGGCUCUAGGUUUUCAAUGGUGCUAUGUUUUCAGUGCAGCUGGGUUUUCAGUGGCUCUAGGUUUUCAGUGGUGCUAGGUUUUCAGUGGCUCUAUGUUUUCAGUGCCGCUAGGUUUUCAGUGCCGCUAGGUUUUCAGUGUGUAAAAAUGGGCUUCAGCUUGGUACUGUUGUAUUGCUCUGCCAUGAGGUCCUGGCAGGCAGAAAUCCAUCAUUGUUGAGGGAGAUACUGACAUUGUGGGGUAGUUGUACUAAAUACAGCUAUGGGUUCUGGAAUGAUAUGUUUCAUUGGGCCGUAUUUAUAAUCUAUAGGACCAAGAGAUUUUCCCUUUCAGGGCACAUGGUCAUGGUCUUAUCUUUUACCAAUCAGGGAAAACCUACCAUCCCUGGGCGGAACUGCUGAGUCUGUGUUAUUUCACGGGGUUAAAUCAACUGAACUGCUGAGUCUGUCAUUUCACAGGGUUUAAGGAACUCUUCAGGAUUUUGGCAAUGAAGAAGUUAGAGGUAGUUGCGUUAACUAGUGUUAGCAGAUACACAUAGACUUCCAGCCAUUGCGCUAAUGCUAGUUAGCAUUGGCUCACAAAACGACCUCAAACUUCAUUCGAACUGAACAUAGAAAAUUACAAAUGGUAUCCACCAGUUCAUCUGCCUCUGGGGAAGUAGAUAAAGGAGUUGAUCUGACUCUGGGGACGUAGAUAAAGGAGUUGAUCUGACUCUGGGGAAGUAGAUAAAGGAGUUGAUCUGACUCUGGGGACGUAGAUAAAGGAGUUGAUCUGACUCUGGGGACGUAGAUAAAGGAGUUGAUCUGACUCUGGGGAAGUAGAUAAAGGAGUUGAUCUGACUCUGGGGACGUAGAUAAAGGAGUUGAUCUGACUCUGGGGAAGUAGAUAAAGGAGUUGAUCUGCCUCUGGGGACGUAGAUAAAGGAGUUGAUCUGCCUCUGGGGAAGUAGAUAAAGGAGUUGAUCUGCCUCUGGGGACGUAGAUAAAGUAGUUGAUC